ensembl:lncRNA
UCCUUUCUGUUCAAAUCCUCCUUUGAACCAGGACUUGGGAAAGGAUGGGGCAGCCUGACCCUUUCUUCCCUCCGUUUCCUUGUUUUAGGGGCCCUUUUACAGAGCAUCCCAGUGACCAAGAUAGAAGAGAUGACCCUGCAUCUUCUUCUGACCGGGCUGGAGGUGUUGCGGGAGAGGGCUGGCCGCCAUCACGGGGGCUCUGGAAGCCACGAUCUCCCCACGGUUAUGGCUGUCAUCCCAGCAGUGGGGGAGUGCAGAGCCCCAGCCCUUUUAGCAUCCUUUUCCAGCCUCCUCUGAUGCUCCAUGACAGCCUCUGCAGACUCCUCCCUGGAGCCUUCCCUGGAUUCCCUCAACACCAUCGAGUGGUUUAUGCGCAGGAGAGGCAGGAGAGACCAGGUUCAGCUGGGUUUUCAACACCAACUCUACUUCCUCUGCUGCCCAACCACCGCCUGCAUGGAGGAGGAACCACAUGGAGGAGGAACUGCAACUUGAUGGGCCCUUUUCGAAGGCAGAGAUGCUUUCUGCACUUGUGA